rnacentral:lncRNA from 1 species
AUAUAUUUUGGUCUCUUUGCACUGCACAUUGCAUCGAUCUGAUGUUGGAAGAUAUCGGUAAGAUGACCAAAAUAAAAAGAUGCAUAGAAAAGGCAAAAAAAAUUACAAGUUUUAUUUACAACAGUGACAAAAUUGUGAAUCUUAUGAAGUCGUAUACAAACGAACGAGAGUUGUUAAGGCCAGGAAUUACAAGAUUUGCAGCAGUAUUUAUUGCUAUUGAAAGUCUUGUUCGACAUUCU